rnacentral:tRNA from 1 species
UCCCUGGUGGCUCAGAUAGUAAAGCGUCUGCCUACAAUGCAGGAGGCCCGGGUUCAAUCCCUGGGUUGGGAA